AAAUUCGUAACUUUAAGGCCUCAAACCCUAGUUUUCUUCUCCUCCUUUCCUCUCUAUCGGCUGCCUCUUCUUUUUAUUUUCUUUCCCUUUCUGCUCCUGUUACUGUCGACACGUACCGACUGCGAUUCUCGAGUCCCUUUUGCUAACUUUGCUCUCUCCUCCAUUGCUCAUUCUCACCUGCCUUCGUCACGAUGUCACUCUCUCGCUUGCACUCAUAGUCACCUCUCUCCCCUCUUAGUGGUCUCGUUCAGAGGCCAUCUAUCUUUAAGGGCUCUCGCUCAGCUCUCCUCUCUCACUUACUUCGAUUUCUUCAUUUAUAAGAGUGCUUGAAAUAUUCAAAUAUAUUCAAACAAUCAAGGUUUUGGAACUGUUUUGUGAUUUAUGGAUGUGAGUUGUUGUUGGGUUUGUAAUUUCUUUGGUUGUGAGUAUGAUUUAUAGUUAUGUUUUGUAAUUUUAUGGAUUUUUAUGGGAUUGUAAAAAAGAUAAUAGAUCUUGCAUUUUUGGUUUGUAAGUUAGGUUUUGCAAUGUUUUGACUUGCUUUGUUGCUAAUGUUUUGCAAUGUUUCUCCACGCUCUCUGGUAAUAAGGAAAGUUAUAGAGAAAUAAACAGAAAAUAAGCAGGAAAAGUUUGUUAAUACAGUUGUUCAUAAGAUGUGAUGGCAGUCGUUUAUUGGUAGGGUUAGGUGAGCAGUUACAUCUAACUGUGUAUAUUUAUGUGAAAUGAAAUGCACAUCUCUCUCUCAUUCUCUUGUCUUGUCUCGUUGCACUGGUGAGAAAGCCUUGCUUACACUUAGCAGUGGAUUGAUUAUCAGAAUUCGGUUUUUCACGUUAUCAUAAUGAUCACCUAGUCCCAUUAGGAACCGCAUGACCUUGUCAUUAUUGUCCCUUUUAUUCAUGAGUUUAGUUGCUCCACAAGUGCACUCCGGCUGUGGUAUUAAGCAAGUUAGUUCAUUCCAAAGCUUCUUAAGCUUAGUGAAGUACAGUGAAAUUGACAUAUUUCCUUAAGAAAACAUGCUCAUUUCUCUCUUUAUUUGGUAGAGCAUUGGUCCAUUGCUCUCACCAAAUCUCUCUUCAAUUUCAGUCCAUAAUUCUCUAGAAUUAGUGACAUAGAGGAAAGCUUCUACUAGAUCUUUUGCAAUUGCAUUUAAGAUCCAUGACAUAACAUGCUAUCAACUUUAUGCCAUUGUUCAUACUCCUCUGGAUCUAUGUUAGGUUGUUUUAUCUUGCCGUUUAUGAAACCUAAUUUAUCUUUAGCAUGUAAUGCAAGAAUCAUGGAUAUACUCCAUGACAAGUAGUUAGGUCCGUUCAGAGGAGCAGGUUCAUAGCUCUGGCUCCAGCUUCAUUGCUAGUCGCUGGAUCUCUUAUUACAAUUGUCUCCAUCAUUAUGAUCUAAGAGUUUGUGGUGAGAAAAAAACUUGAUCAGCAGUAGCAAGAGGAUAAAAAGGCACAGAGGUAAGAGAUUAAAAAAAGGAAAGGAUUAGUGUUUGGAAAUGAGCAGCGCCGGAGUUUUCAGUAUUCUCCAGUGUGACUACACAGAUAAUGUUGCUCUGAUACCAUGUUACAUACCAAAGGAGAGAGGAGAGAAAAGCGAAUGAGAGAGAGAUGCAUUUCAUUUCACAUGAAUAGGUAGAUAUAUAUAGUUAGCUGUAACUGCUCGACUAACCUUACCAAUCAAUGAGUGCCAACACAUCUUCUAAACAGCUGUAUUAACAAACUUUUCCCGCCUAUUUUCUAUUUAUUUAUCUAUAACUUACAUGUACUAUAAUUUUACAAGAUGAGAUAAUUAUAUUUGAGAUCUAAAUAUAUUUAAAAGAUAAAAAAUGAGUAUUUAUAAGUAAGUAAAAAUCUUUUGAUUUAUAUACUUUUUUUACAACAAUCUCUCACAUAUUUCAAAAGAUUUUUCAUCGCUGGGUUUAAGAUUUGAGUGUAUAUAUUUUGAAUUCAGUGUCUUUUAGACUAUAAAUCAGACCUAAAUUAAUAAGACUUAACAUACAAAGUAAUUGCUGAAAUUUUUACUUAUAUGAAUUAAAAACUCUUUUUGGUGAGCUAAUAUUUUAUUAAUCUCAUAAUACUUUAUAGAUCUUAUGCACGCUCAGAAGUUCACAAAUGCUAUAGAGAUUAUGCACGCUCAGAAGUUCACAAAUGCUAUAGAGAUUAUAACACAAUCUCAUAGUAGCAGCCUUAUCCACACUUAUAUAGGUGAUAUCAAGUGUAUACUACAAUUCGUACAACAUCCAUAAGAAAUAUAAAUAUCAUUAAGAAAUAUAAAUAUCAUUAAGAGAUUUAUGCUUAUCCUCUCAUUUAAUGCAAUCUCACACUUUUUACAUUAUAGGAAGGAACAACGAUAAAUAGAGCUAGCAGAACUAAUAAAUGGCUUCUUAUUACUCAUAUGAACCUUUUUCAUGGAUCUCCAAUAAAAAAAAUUGAGUUUCUAUCACUAUUAAUUUCACAUUGGUUCAAGUUUCAUUCCUCUUGAUGUUU
rnacentral:lncRNA from 1 species